GUGAACGCUGGCGGUAGGCCUAACACAUGCAAGUCGAACGGCAGCACAGUAAGAGCUUGCUCUUACGGGUGGCGAGUGGCGGACGGGUGAGGAAUACAUCGGAAUCUACUUUUUCGUGGGGGAUAACGUAGGGAAACUUACGCUAAUACCGCAUACGGCCUACGGGUGAAAGCAGGGGAUCUUCGGACCUUGCGCGAUUGAAUGAGCCGAUGUCGGAUUAGCUAGUUGGCGGGGUAAAGGCCCACCAAGGCGACGAUCCGUAGCUGGUCUGAGAGGAUGAUCAGCCACACUGGAACUGAGACACGGUCCAGACUCCUACGGGAGGCAGCAGUGGGGAAUAUUGGACAAUGGGCGCAAGCCUGAUCCAGCCAUACCGCGUGGGUGAAGAAGGCCUUCGGGUUGUAAAGCCCUUUUGUUGGGAAAGAAAAGCAGCAGGUUAAUACCCCGCUGUUCUGACGGUACCCAAAGAAUAAGCACCGGCUAACUUCGUG
rnacentral:rRNA from 1 species